CUCCACGCCUGCGCAGUGGGGCUCGCGCUCGGCACCCGGCACUCCCGGCAGGGUUCGAGCGGCGCGCGGCGGUUCCAUGGCGGAACCCGGAGCGGAGUCGGAGCCCCUUCUGAGCCGGGCCCGGGGUGACGGCGGCCGCGACUGCCCUGCGGGCUCAGCCUCUUGCCGCCCUGGUGCCCUGUCUUGGCGGGACCUCUGCUUUGACCAGGCUGCUGUCUUCAUCGAAGAUGCGAUCCAGUAUCGCUCCAUUAACCACCGCAUGGACGUCAGGUCAAUGUGGCUUUACCGGUUGUAUUACUCGAACACGUGCCAAUGGAUAUUGAGCCUCACCAUUUUCUUGAUCCUGUUUUUGGCCUUUAUCGAGAGCCCUUCCUCGCUCACUAGCACCGCGGACAUCCGCUACCGCUCGGCCCCCUGGGAUCCACCCUGCGGCCUGACCGAGGGCGUCGAGGUGCUCUGCCUGCUGGUCUUUGUGGCCGACGUCUCUGUGAAGAGCUACCUGGUUGGGUGGGCCCAGUUCCGGACGAACCCCUGGCUGCUGGCCUACCUCGCGGUGCUGGUCGUGUCUCUCACGGACUGGAUCGUGUCGCUGAGUCUGCUUUGCCAGGAGCGGCUGCGGAUCCGCAGGCUCCUGCGGCCAUUCUUCCUGAUGCAGAACUCGUCCAUGAUGAAGAAGACGCUCAAGUGCAUCCGGUCGUCGCUGCCGGAGAUGGCCAGUGUCCUGCUCCUGCUGGCGCUGCACCUGUACAUCUUCACCAUGUCUGGGAUGCUGCUCUUCACAGGCGAGAAGCAGGGCGAUGGGCAGGACCGGGAGAGGCUGAUCUAUUUUCGCAACCUGCCGGAGGCUCUGACCUCCCUCCUGGUGCUGCUGACCACCGCCAACAACCCUGACGUUAUGAUUCCUGCAUAUUCCAAGAACCGGGCCUACGCCAUCUUUUUCAUAGUCUUCACCCUGAUCGGGAGCUUGUUUCUGAUGAACCUGCUGACGGCCAUCAUCUACAAUCAGUUCCGGGGCUACCUCAUGAAGUCCUUCCAGACCUCGCUGUUCCGGAGGCGGCUGGGAGCGCGGGCCGCCUACGAGGUGCUCUCCUCCGUGACGGCCGAGGGAGAAGCCCACCCCCGAGAAGUCGGGGUGCGGCCCCAGGACUUCCUGCAGGUGCUUCAGCGAGUCCAGCUGUCCGGCUCCCACACACAGGCCGUCGUGGAGAAGGUGCGUUCCUAUGGUGGCGACCUGCUGUCAGCCGGCGAGUUUCAGAAACUCUUUAAUGAGUUUGACAAAAGGGUGAUUAAAGAGCCCCCGCCACGGCCCGAGUACCCAUCUCCCUUCUUGAGGAGGGCCCAGAUCGUCUGCAGCCACCGCUACUUUGACUACCUGGGGAACUUCAUCGCCCUUGGGAACCUCGUGUCCAUUUCUGUGUUCCUGGUGAUAGAUGCAGACGUGCUGCCCGAGGACCGAGACGACUUUGUCCUAGGGAUUCUCAACUGCGUCUUCAUUCUUUACUACCUGCUGGAGUUGCUGCUGAAGGUGUUUGCCCUGGGCCUGCCGGGCUACCUGGCCCAUUCCAGCAACGUGUUCGACGGCCUGCUCACCGUCGUCCUGCUGGUUUUGGAGAUCUCAACUCUGGCUGUGUACCGAUUCCCACACCCGGGCUGGAAGCCAGAGACGCUGGGCCUGCUGUCGCUGUGGGACAUGGCCCGGCUGGUGAACACGCUCAUCGUGGUCCGGUUCCUGCGCAUUAUCCCAAGCCUGAAGCUAAUGGCUGUGGUGGCCAGUACCGUCCUGGACCUGGUCAGAAACAUGCGGGCUUUUGGCGGGAUCCUGGUGGUGGUGUACUACGUCUUCGCCAUUCUGGGCAUCAGCCUGUUCCGCGGCGUCAUCGUGGCUCCUGGAAACGGCAGCCUGAGCCCUGACAACAGCUCGGCACCCUGCGGAAGCUUCGAGCAGCUGGAGUACUGGCCCAACAACUUUGAUGACUUUGCGGCCGCCCUCAUCACCCUGUGGAACGUGAUGGUGGUGAACAACUGGCAGGUGUUCCUGGAGGCCUAUCGGCGCUACUCGGGCCCGUGGUCGAAGAUCUACUUUGUGUUGUGGUGGCUGGUGUCGUCUGUCAUCUGGGUCAACCUGUUUUUGGCUCUGAUCCUGGAGAAUUUUCUUCACAAGUGGGACCGCCGCAGUCACCUGCAGUCCCUCGCUGGGGACCCGGACAGCACCUAUCAGAUGAGUGCAGAGCUCUUGUUCAGGGCCUGGUGGUGUCUGUGUGAGGCUGAUGCUCAGUCAGUAUCUGUGAGGGGAAGAAUCUGGAGCUCUUGCUGCCGUCGAAUGCCGGGAAGAACAGACGGCGUCUUACCUCCAGCACUAGCAUUGUCUAGGCAUAUGCGCUGCGGGGCUGGGAUCUGUCAGGCAUGGACGCAAAGUGGGAUGAGAGCGGAAAAGGCUGAGGGCCAGGAGCAGGAGGAAGCGGCUGCACGUAUGCCCGCGGAGGACCCACACCCGCCCCAGGCCUGUGUGGAGCUCCCUGGCGGCCUUGGGGAAAAAGGGAACAGGUUUCUGCCAGAGGCGGCGGUGGGUGGCUGGGUGGUGCGAGGCCCAGCAGGGGUGGAGGCAUGCCGGGUGGGGCUGGGGCCCGAGGCCUCGCUGUCCUCGGCUUGUUUCCAGGUCUUCAUGGGGGACCCACGCCGGUAAGGUUGUGAAAGCCGCUAACACGUAACGGGAUUCUCGAGAGACCAAAGCAGUGGUGAUGAUUAAGAUGAAGAACCGCGAUUUGGGUGGCGCCUCCCACGUGCUCUCCUGAGCCCUUCACGAGGCAGGUGUGGGCUUGUUUUGUCCCAUGGAGUCACGGGCUCGGGCGGCGCUGACACAUGGGUAAGCCGAGGCACGGAGUACAGAGAGGCGGAGGCCCCCUGGCUGUUCACGGCACUGCCUCCCCCUGGCCCGGCCUCCACUCUACCCCCUCCAUCCCUCCACACGUCAGUGCCACGCGUGUGCCGGAGACAAAUGUCUGUGAUGUUUGUAGAGACACGCCUGCGGCGUCAGACCGUCCUCCCCUGCACGCAGGAGGGUCCCGACAGCCCCCACGGGGUGUGGGAAAUGACAGGCAUGACCAGGGGCGCUUUGGGGGGCAGGCUGGGCUCCUUGUGACUUCCUCCCACUUAGCUACCAUCCAGAGAGGCUCCCGGCACCUGGUCUGUGCCCCACCUGCCGCACGCAGUGACCUUGACACGCAGUUAGCCUUCCUGAACACUCGCUCCCUCUACUGGAAAGGAGGUGGGGGGCUGCGGACUGGAAUAAUGACGCUGAAGGAGCGGGUGUGCUGACCCCGGAGCCUGUGCCGACAGGUGGCCAGGCAGAGUGUGUGCCCAAGACUGUCACGAAGGCAGAUUCGCUCAGCCCCGAGGAGCCUGUGACAGGGCCUGUGCCUGCCCAUGGGUAUGACACUUGCUGCUGGACCCUGGACAGGCCUCCACACAUCUCCAUCACAGUGGCCUCUCGCCCCCCAUGUGGCCCGCCUCUGGCCCCGGGAAGCCUCCAGUGGUCCUGGCCCCAUUGACUAGAGGCUGGGGUUGCUGUCCUGCUGCACUGGCUGCUGCCACUGUCCCCAGUGGCCCUCGAGGUGACCCUGAGCCCAGCACAUCGUGUUGGCAGCUGGAGGGCGCACCAUGGUGGCAAAAGCCGUGCCCCCUCCCCUCUGGGCACUUUCGGUCUCCUGCAAGCAAGAGGGCUUCCGAGACGGGGGCUGGUUUGUAUCCGUUUCCUUGGUCUCUUCCGUUCCUGUUGGCAGAGCUCCAUCUUGGGUAGUCAUGCCGCCCGGGUUCAGAUGGAAGGUCCCUGAUAGCGUCCCCCCUGCGCUGUGUUUGCCUAGAAGCAAAGCCACCAAUGCCCCAACCUGUUACUCUUUCCUCACGAUGGUACCAAGGUGGGCGGCUUGUCCUUUUGACCAUGUUGCAGUCGGACCCUCCUACACUGACUUCUUCCCUGAGAAAGGUGUUUAAGGGAAGGACAGGACGUCUACUGGGCAUCCCCCAGGCCCAGGCAGGAAGUGGAUUAUGGAGAAAGUCGGCACGAGCGGCUUUAGAAUCAACUGGAAAGUUCCUGAUCGGGCAGACAGUGGACGUUGGUUGCCCUUGCGGUGCUCGGGGUUCGCCAGGCAGCUGCCGAUCUGUGGCCCCUUCUUAGGAAAAGGUCUGAGAACUGUGCCCUAAAACACGUGGAAACACAAGGAGAGUAAUUAUAUUGAGAAACUGCUAACGGGAUAUUAACAAAUCCAAACGUGGGACAGAGGAGAGCCACAGCCUGCCCCCAGUUCACAACAUUUUGAGAUGUGGGCCCGGGCGGCCACGUGACGGGAAGGUACCUGCGAUUUCUGCUCGGGAAGGCAGGAGCUCUCCCUGAUCCCUGUGGUUUGGUUUCGCCACCCAAGUCCUCAGGUCCCCGGAACCAUGGAGGUCCCGGAACCAUGGAGGUCCCGGAACCAUGGAGGUCCCCAUUGAUUUCCUGCUGGGACUCCCCCUGCCCCCACCUUCCCUGAGUUAUGGGGACACUAGUGACUUAGUUCUGAUUUCGGCCAAGGCUGAGGGCGGUGGCCCCACCCCGCCGCCAGGAGGCCUCCCCGGCGCCCCCAUCAGAAUGAACCCCCUCCUGCUCCCACCACAUUUUCUCUCUGUUCCAACAGGUGAGCACCCAGGGUCCUGGAGGGUCUCAAGCCUCCUCCAUCCCAAUAAAUGA